rfam:Plicaturopsis crispa FD-325 SS-3 unplaced genomic scaffold PLICRscaffold_52, whole genome shotgun sequence.
GGCCAGAUAGCUCAGUGGUCAGAGCACCACUGCGAUCCAAGCUGGAGGUCCCAGGUUCAAUCCCUGGUCCGGCCG